rnacentral:rRNA from 1 species
GUGCCAGCAGCCGCGGUAAUACGUAGGGUGCAAGCGUUAAUCGGAAUUACUGGGCGUAAAGCGUGCGCAGGCGGUUAUGCAAGACAGAUGUGAAAUCCCCGGGCUCAACCUGGGAACUGCAUUUGUGACUGCAUGGCUAGAGUACGGUAGAGGGGGAUGGAAUUCCGCGUGUAGCAGUGAAAUGCGUAGAUAUGCGGAGGAACACCGAUGGCGAAGGCAAUCCCCUGGACCUGUACUGACGCUCAUGCACGAAAGCGUGGGGAGCAAACAGGAUUAGAUACCCUGGUAGUCCACGCCCUAAACGAUGUCAACUGGUUGUUGGGAGGGUUUCUUCUCAGUAACGUAGCUAACGCGUGAAGUUGACCGCCUGGGGAGUACGGCCGCAAGGUUGAAACUUAAAUGAAUUGGCGG